GAAGAACGCUAGCUACAGGCUUAACACAUGCAAGUCGAGGGGUAACGAGAGGAAAGCUUGCUUUCCUUGUCGACGACCGGCGCACGGGUGAGUAACGCGUAUCCAACCUGCCCCCAACUAGGGAAUAACCUUGCGAAAGUAAGACUAAUACCCUAUAAUUUCCUCAGAUGUCAUCUGACGAGGAAUAAAGAUUUAUCGGUUGUGGAUGGGGAUGCGUCUGAUUAGCUUGUUGGCGGGGUAACGGCCCACCAAGGCAACGAUCAGUAGGGGUUCAGAGAGGAAGGUCCCCCACAUUGGAACUGAGACACGGUCCAAACUCCUACGGGAGGAAGCAGUGAGGAAUAUUGGUCAAUGGGCGGAAGCCUGAACCAGCCAAGUAGCGUGUAGGAUGACGGCCCUAUGGGUUGUAAACUGCUUUUAUACAGGAAUAAAGUUAGCCACGUGUGGUUAUUUGUAGGUACUGUAUGAAUAAGGACCGGCUAAUUCCGUGCCAGCAGCCGCGGUAA
rnacentral:rRNA from 1 species